rnacentral:rRNA from 1 species
GACGAACGCUGGCGGCGCGCUUAACACAUGCAAGUCGAACGGAAAGGCCUGCUUUCCCUUGUGGAUUGCGGGUACUCGAGUGGCGAACGGGUGAGUAACACGUGAGUUAUCUGCCCCCAACUUGGGUAUAAGCCUGGGAAACUGGGUCUAAUUCCCGAUAGGACUGCAGGGUGGUGCCUGUGGUGGAAAACGAUUUUCUAGUGGUUGGGGAUGAGCUCGCGGCCUAUCAGCUUGUUGGUGGGGUAAUGGCCUACCAAGGCGGCGACGGGUAGCCGGCCUGAGAGGGUGGACGGCCACAUUGGGACUGAGAUACGGCCCAGACUCCUACGGGAGGCAGCAGUGGGGAAUAUUGCACAAUGGGCGGAAGCCUGAUGCAGCGACGCCGCGUGGGGGAUGACGGCCUUCGGGUUGUAAACUCCUUUCGACCGCGAGGAAGCCACCUGGUUGGAAGGGUGGUGACGGUAGUGGUAGAAGAAGCACCGGCUAACUACGUG